AAAUCGUAAUCUCAACAUUCUGGUGACCCCGACGUGAUACUCACGUAUUGCGUUUGCGUCUCACCACAUUAACAAAACAUUUUGCACGCAUUCGAUCUUAACAAUAUUGAUAACUUACAUUGUUAAAAAUUGCUUUUUUAGUACAAAAGAGUAAAACUGUUUUCUUUUUACAGUGCUCGAAAUAGCGCUAAAAUAUUGCAAGAAUCCAUUUUGAACGAGACAAUAAGAGAAGAAGUGUUAAAAUAACAGAAGACGACAAAAGAGAAAAGAAGAAAGUAAUUCCCUGGACAGAAAAAUAAAGAGAAAGAAGAAAUAAUGAAAGAUAUAUAUCAAGAUGUGUUGAAGGAGAUCGACGGCGUGAACAGGCCUCUGGUAGCAAUAACUCUGCUAGGCGCGGCCCCUAUCGACGCCAUGGGCCACGCGGAGGGCGUGGGGGAAGAUGUAGACGGGCCCCAAGCCCUCCUCAUGAAAGAGGAGGUAGGUGGAAGCCCCCCUCAGCAAAGAGAUUUGUUUUCUUUAGUUUAAAUCCUGGCACCUAGUUUCCUCCUACUUUCAAUUUGUCUAUUUGUCAGAAUCAAUUGCUCAACUGUCAAAAUUACAAAUCAAUUCAUUAAAUUUUGAAAAUGAAUGAAAACAUCGUAUCAAAGUUCCCAAAGUUCCUACAAAUCUGUCGAUCAGAAGCGAAUGCAAAGUAAACACAAAUGAGUCGGUACGAAGAUGAAAUAAUGUCCUUAGCGGAUUCCCGGUCUUAUGCACAAACGUCAAUAGCCAAUUUUGACAAUUUGGCAGCCUCGCAAAAACUUACGUCUUGCCAUGAACUAUUAUCACAGUCUGCUGAGUUAUCCACAAAUGAAAGUGAAUUUCGUAUCACUGAUACACAGUUAAUUAAAUGUUGCAAUAAAGCGGAAGUUAUGAUGAAAGAAGUAAAAGACGCACCAGAAAGAGCUCGUGAUGACAAGAACAAUGAAACAACAGUAGACAUAAUAUUUGAGGACUUUUCUACAACGCCUUUUAACAGUCCUAUAGUAUAGCCUGAGAGUAAAUUAAGAAAUUUGGAACGGAGCCCUUUAUUUAUAUUACUGCAGAAACCGAAACGUUGCUAUAGCCGUAAAUUUAAAGAAAAGGCGAAAUCAAAUUUGGAGGAAAAAUUCAAAGCCGCUAUUGAGAACUAUAUGAGUACAUGUUCAUCUUUCUUGUUGCAAUGCAGAAAGUAUAAGUAUCUUCUCAAUGUUUGUAAUGAAUUCGAUGGCACUUUAAUUGACGAACACAUCGUAAAUUUGAAAUUCAAAAAGUCAUAUGAUU